AAAUGAAUAGACGGGGGCCCGCACAAGCGGAGGAACAUGUGGUUUAAUUCGAUGAUACGCGAGGAACCUUACCUGGGCUUAAAUGGGGAGUGACGUUAUCAGAGAUGGUAAUUUCUUCGGACACUCUUCAAGGUGCUGCAUGGUUGUCGUCAGCUCGUGCCGUGAGGUGUCGGGUUAAGUCCCAUAACGAGCGCAACCCUUACUGUUAGUUGCCAUCGGGUAAAGCCGGGGACUCUAGCGGGACUGCCACCGUAAGGUGAGAGGAAGGUGGGGAUGACGUCAAAUCAGCACGGCCCUUAUGUCCAGGGCUACACACGUGUUACAAUGGCCGGUACAGAGGGCAGCUACACUGCGAAGUGAUGCGAAUCCCGAAAGCCGGUCUCAGUUCGGAUCGAAGUCUGCAACCCGACUUCGUGAAGUUGGAUUCGCUAGUAAUCGCGCAUCAGCCAUGGCGCGGUGAAUACGUUCCCGGGCCUUGUACACACCGCCCGU
rnacentral:rRNA from 1 species